AGUGAACGCUGGCGGUAGGCCUAACACAUGCAAGUCGAACGGCAGCACAGUAAGAGCUUGCUCUUACGGGUGGCGAGUGGCGGACGGGUGAGGAAUACAUCGGAAUCUACUUUUUCGUGGGGGAUAACGUAGGGAAACUUACGCUAAUACCGCAUACGACCUACGGGUGAAAGCAGGGGAUCUUCGGACCUUGCGCGAUUGAAUGAGCCGAUGUCGGAUUAGCUAGUUGGCGGGGAAAAGGCCCACCAAGGCGACGAUCCGUAGCUGGUCUGAGAGGAUGAUCAGCCACACUGGAACUGAGACACGGUCCAGACUCCUACGGGAGGCAGCAGUGGGGAAUAUUGGACAAUGGGCGCAAGCCUGAUCCAGCCAUACCGCGUGGGUGAAGAAGGCAUUCGGGUUGUAAAGCCCUUUUGUUGGGAAAGAAAAGCAGCAGGUUAAUACCCCGCUGUUCUGACGGUACCCAAAGAAUAAGCACCGGCUAACUUCGUG
rnacentral:rRNA from 1 species